GAUGAACGCUAGCUACAGGCCUAACACAUGCAAGUCGAGGGGCAGCAUUAUUUGUAGCAAUACAGAUAGAUGGCGACCGGCGCACGGGUGAGUAACGCGUAUCCUACCUUCCCCUGUCUCGGGUAUAGCCUUCCGAAAGGGAGAUUAAUCCCCGAUGGCGUCAAGAGGCCGCAUGGCAUCCUGACUAAAGCGUAAGCGGACAGGGCUGGGGGUGCGUCCCAUUAGGUAGUUGGCGGGGUAACGGCCCACCAAGCCAACGAUGGGUAGGGGUUCUGAGAGGAAGGCCCCCCACAUUGGAACUGAGACACGGUCCAAACUCCUACGGGAGGCAGCAGUGAGGAAUAUUGGUCAAUGGCCGAGAGGCUGAACCAGCCAAGUAGCGUGGAGGAUGACUGCCCUACGGGUUGUAAACUCCUUUUAUAAGGGGGUAAAGGCGUCUACGUGUAGAUGUUUGCAAGUACCUUAUGAAUAAGCAUCGGCUAACUCCGUGCCAGCAGCCGCGGUAAUACGGAGGAUGCGAGCGUUAUCCGGAUUCAUUGGGUUUAAGGGUGCGUAGGUGGCCCGUUAAGUCAGCGGUGAAACCCUGUCGCUCAACGAUAGGCGUGCCGUUGAAACUGGUGGGCUUGAGUGUGUAUGGGGCGGGCGGAACGCGUGGUGUAGCGGUGAAAUGCAUAGAUAUCACGCGGAACCCCGAUCGCGAAGGCAGCCCGCCAAUCCACUACUGACACUGAGGCACGAGAGCGUGGGGAUCGAACAGGAUUAGAUACCCUGGUAGUCCACGCCGUAAACGAUGAUCACCAGGGGUUUGCGAUAGAGUGUAAGCCCCCGAGCGAAAGCGUUAAGUGAUCCACCUGGGGAGUACGCCGGCAACGGUGAAACUCAAAGGAAUUGACGGGGGCCCGCACAAGCGGAGGAACAUGUGGUUUAAUUCGAUGAUACGCGAGGAACCUUACCCGGGCUUGAACUGCAGCGGAAUGGUUUGGAAACAGAUCAGCGAGCAAUCGCCGCUGUGGAGGUGCUGCAUGGUUGUCGUCAGCUCGUGCCGUGAGGUGUCGGCUUAAGUGCCAUAACGAGCGCAACCCUUACCGAUAGUUGCCAUCAGGUAACGCUGGGGACUCUAUCGGGACUGCCGUCGUAAGAUGUGAGGAAGGUGGGGAUGACGUCAAAUCAGCACGGCCCUUACGUCCGGGGCUACACACGUGUUACAAUGGGGGGUACAGCAGGCCGCUACCAGGCGACUGGAUGCCAAUCCCUAAAACCCCUCUCAGUUCGGACUGGAGUCUGCAACCCGACUCCACGAAGCUGGAUUCGCUAGUAAUCGCGCAUCAGCCACGGCGCGGUGAAUACGUUCCCGGGCCUUGUACACACCGCCCGUCAAGCCAUGAAAGCCGGGGGUACCUGAAGUGCGUAACCGCAAGGAGCGCCCUAGGGUAAAACUGGUGAUUGGGGCUA
rnacentral:rRNA from 1 species